rnacentral:lncRNA from 1 species
GAGAACUCCAAAGUAGCGGCUGAGGCGAUAGUAAUGCCUUGCCUGUCAACCAAUACUAUUGGCAAAAUGCCAGGGGCCAUUCCGACUCAGCUGUGGCUCUGAGCAAGAAUGUGCUGGGAGUGCAAUAUCUGGAGAUAGCGAGAAAAUUCCUGAGAAAGCCAGGACUUAUGCCUGCCCUGCCUGGAAAAUGUAGCAUUUUGACAUAAGGAAGAACUGCCUGGGACAGCCCAGGCUUGAUUCCUCUCUCCUUGGAAGCAGGACAUCACUCAAAACCUUACCAGGUAAGUCACAUGGACCCUGAGGUAGAUAAACCAAGUGGGUUACCCUUCCAGGUCUGUUAGCUGCGGUGUCAAUGGGAUGCAUGCAAUCAAGGUUCCAUCCAUACCUGGCACCUUUUUUUUUCCCGUCCAAUUUUGGAGUUCUGGGAUCAAACCCAGGGCCUCUCAAGCUAGGAAAGUGUUCUACCACUGAGUAACAAACAGCCCCAGCCCCUGCCAGCUUUCUUGAGUCUUGGGAAAUUAGCUCACAUGGAUCUUAGGCUUCUGUUGUUCCUUGCUAUCUAUGUGAAGUAAUAAGCCAGAUCCAUGUAACUUGUUGUGUAUGUGUGUCCUGUCUCAUCAGACUGAGUCACCUUUGUACCCAGUGCACAGUGAGCCUGCUUCACAAAAUUGGCACAGCUUUCUCUGCUUGUACUGAUUGGGAAGGCAAUGGCCUCAGCCUUAAUACGCAGAAUAACCCCAGGUGAUAUCAUGAAGCUUCGCCAGUAUCAACAUCAUUGACCACAAGGACCACAUGUUCAUCCAGAAGAACGUGGCCAAGGUUGACAAGGUAUUGCAGGUUUAACUGCCAGUUUAAAAUGUAAGCUAUCUUCAGAGUUAUCGGCAGGAUGAGUGACUCAGAUGACUCCAUUCUCCAAUUGGCCCAGGCCAGUGACAUCAUCUCAAAGAACUUCUGACUAGAGAGAAUUGUGAAUAUGGAAUAUUUGUCAUGAAUAAAAAGUGAGAAACAGAACAAAUAAACAAAUUUUGGUAUAGUGAACAGAAAGGGUCUGACAGACAGUAGCUCACAGUCAAAAAAGAGGCAGGCACUGAUAUCCACUAGUACCUGGCCUAGGAUAGAGACCUCAGCCUGGGAACACAGGGCUAGCCGUGCAGCUGGAUGACUGAUGAGAAGGAAGCAUGAUAAGUGGGACAUAGGUCAUUUACAUAGACAUACUCCUGCAGAUGUGGGUGAGCUGACUGGGCCAGAAAGAAAGCAAUGUGGAAAUGGGUGCAAGGUGCACCCUUGAUUGCUCAUUUCAAGGGCUGAGAGCUUGGAGAGUGAGCACUCAGAUGGACCUUGAGUUAUGAGAAAGAGGGACUCAAAUGGCCCUUGAAGCAUCUGAGAGGGAACCAACACACACAAUGUGGGUCUUCAAGAAAGGAUACUCACUAUCCAAAAGAAGGACAUGGAGGCAGACCAUGGAAGUUUCAUGCAGCCUAACUGGUGUGUUUGUUUGAUAAAGAGGCAUUGCAGAUCCAAGUGCAUCUGUCUCAAUAGUGCAAAUAGAAAUGAGGCCAAGGUCUCUGGGUCCUCACUGGAGGACAAUGACCCUAUACUUCUGUCAAAAUAAAAGAGGAAAUAAAAGGUGAAUUCAGAUUUUUCUGAGGUUCUUAUAUACUGGAGCCCACACAACAGUAUUUCCAUUUCCCUUAGGAGAAAAAAAUUAAACUGAAGACAGUGACAAGUUUCGGGAUGGAUGUGGUAACUGAUAAAUGAUGCUUAUCUGGUUAUUGACAUUAUCUGCUUAUUGGUGGGGCUCUGUGGGCCAUUCUGUGUGCCAGUGACUGUGACUCCCACCACUGAGAGCAUUAUAGGCAUUGAAAUUUUGGCUGCUUGUGUCACAGGACAUCACCACCCCUUGAGGGGGUAUGCUCCUCACAGCUGAGAUCAAGCCACAACAGUGACACAUAUCCACUCUUACCUGCUCCAAAGCUAUCCAAGCCCCCAUGUGUUAUUCAACAACUGCAGUAUUAAAAGCAGAUCUUUCAGCUGCUUUUAUUUUAAUUUAAUUUUAGCUUUUUGAGAUGGGGUCUUGUUAUGUUGUUCAGGGUAGCCUCAAGUUCCUGGGCUCAAGUGAUCCUCCCACCUCAGUCUCCAAAGUAUCUCAAGGCCUGUGCAUGCACCCAGCUGAUAUCCCCUUUUUGAAUGGCAAACACUUGCUUUCUGCACAGGCUCAACAGAACUCAAUAAUCAAAUGGAAACUGUACAUUCAUGAUGGAGCUUUAUCUGGGCAUGGUGGUGCAUGCCUAUAAUCCCAGCUAUUCAGGAGACUGAGACAGGAGGAUUGCAAGUUCCAGGCCAGACUGGGCAACUUUGCAAGACCCUGCCUCAAAAUAAAAUUUAAAAAGGGCUGGGGAUGUAUCUUAUUAGUAAAGCAUCCCUGGGUUUAAUUCCCAGUCCAUACACACAAAAAAGGAUAGGGCCCAGCCAGGACCCCAAGGGACUAGUGGUCUCCAUAAACAAAUGUUUACCAGGAGGGAUGAAGCAACCUAUAAAGGAUGACCAGUCUCCUCCUGUGGCUACCUGGAGUCCAAGACUCAGAGUCAUGUCUACCAACAAUGUAACAUGGUUUACUCAUGGCUUUGCAAACAUUAAAUAUGGCCACCAUCUGGCCAGUGACUGACCAUUCUUUGACACUGGACAGAGAUAUUCUGCCUAAUGGCAGAACUGUAUGCCAAACUACAUACAGUGAUGAUGACCAUGCAGGCCACCUUUACCACCAAAUCUUGCCAACACCCUAGCCAUCUGAUCAGAAGAAUGGCAACUGAAUGACUGACUACUAAAGGACCCCCAGUGUGCAGACAAAGACUAUGGUAACAGCUUACUACCUAGAAGGGACAAAACAUGUGUCACUCAUGUGGAUGGUGGGACUGCAAUGACAAUGAGAGAAACAGGUUACAUUUUUGGAUAUCCCAUGGGAGUUCACUCUUACCAAAAAUCAUCCUUCACUGUCCAAACAACAUGACAAUGGGCACAGUCUCAUGGAGUGUGAUACAUUAUACCCUGUCAUCCACAGGUCAACAGAGCUUUAAGUGAUGGAAAAUCCAUCACAUAGCAACUGAAGAAUGAACAUCAAGUGGCUUUGUGGUGGAAUGGCAACCUGUAUGACAAGGAGUAUGGAC